UACGAACUGUGCGAACGUUAUUCGGAAUUACUGGGCUUAAAGGGUGCGUAGGCGGCUUGUUAAGUAGGGUGUGAAAGCCCCCGGCUCAACCGGGGAAUUGCGCCCUAAACUGGCGAGCUGGAGUGAGAUAGGGGUGUGUGGAACUUCCGGUGGAGCGGUGAAAUGUGUUGAUAUCGGAAGGAACGCCGGUGGCGAAAGCGACACACUGGAUCUUGUCUGACGCUGAGGAGCGAAAGCCAGGGGAGCAAACAGG
rnacentral:rRNA from 1 species